UUAAAUUCCUCUUUCUUUCGUCGAACUUAUGUUUGGCCGUUUUUCACCUAUUUCUGUUCGUUUUCAGAAAAUGGUUUCUUCUUCAAAGUUGUAGAUAUCGAAAAGUUCUUGAACUUUGCCUGAAGAAUCGAUCGAUUCCGAGUUAUAGAUUAAAUGUUAUGAGCAUUCUAAAUUACUGCUGCAGUAUUUCACUUUUCUCUUUCUCUCCUUGCCCGUCGCCCCUCACCCGAGCACUCAGCACGAGCGCUGCUGCUCGUUGCUGCACCCCGUGCCUUCGAGCACCAUCCCUAGCACUCCCUUGCUGCGUUUCUCGUGCUUUGUCCCUCACACUCCCUCUCUCGCCCUCGUCGUUGCAACCUACCCGCACAGCCACACCUUGCGUGUUGUGGUUGUUGUUGUUGCCGUGUGUUGUUGCUGUGUUGUGGUGCCCUCGCCCACACACACUCGCACACUCGCCUCUCUCCUUCCUCUCGUGCCUGCUGCGCCGAGCCCUCACCACCCAUGUUACUUUCUUGUUCGUUGUCCGCACACGCAACACACCCUUCGUGUGUGUUGUGUGUUUGUUUGUGUUCCGUUAAUUCUUUUUUCGCCCAAUCACAUUUAAUUCGUGAUUGUACCGUGCUAUAGGCCGGAUUGGAGUUGAUUUCUAGUAAGUUGUGAUUCGCACAGUGGUCUCCGUACUUAGGUAUUCCAGAUUAAUUUAGCAGGUUGGUAGAUCAAAGUACGAUCGAAAUCAUGUAGCUUGGGAUGGUUGAGUGAGUUGCAUUCUUUUGUGCUUUGAAACUAUUUCAAAUUAUACUUUAAUUAUGUUUUGGAGUUUAUGGAUUUUUAAUACUUUGGUUUUGGGCCGUUAUGGUUCCAACUUGUAGGAGGCCUCAAUAAAUAUUAUUUAUAAUGGUUUGAA